rfam:Lysinibacillus manganicus DSM 26584 contig2, whole genome shotgun sequence.
UAUUAAUGAACAGAGCCUAAGUGCGCCACGUCGUGUGGCAACGGCUCUGUGACCAACGUCGUGUUGG